rnacentral:rRNA from 1 species
UGUAAGCGUAUACCAAAGUUGUUGCAGUUAAAACGCUCGUAGUCGGACUUUGGCAGUUCCGGAUGUGUGCACGUCGUGUGCGCACUUCGCGGGGAUUGCUUUUGUGGUCUUGCGUAGGAUGAGGCACUUUUAUUAGUGAACGUCCUCACGCAACCACUUUUUACUGUGAGAAGAUCAGAGUGCUCAAAGCAGGCAUUUGCCGUGAAUGUAUUAGCAUGGAAUAAUAGAAUAGGACUUGGUUCUAUUUUGUUGGUUUGUUGGGACUGAGUAAUGAUUAAGAGGGACAGUUGGGGGCAUUUGUAUUUCGGUGCUAGAGGUGAAAUUCUUAGAUUACCGAAAGACAAACUGCUGCGAAAGCGUCUGCCAAGGAUGUUUUCAUUGA